rnacentral:sRNA from 1 species
AGAUUCCAUGCCGGAAUGAAGCCAUGGUGGGCCAGGGACUGGGCGUUACCCAGCAGGGGGCAGUCUGGUAGAGAGUGCCCGAGAGGCCUGGAGAAGACUUUGGACCUGCUUUCACAACUGCAGAGCCUCCUGGAGCCACACCUUGACAAAGGUGACUUUGGUCAGCUCUCCGGUCCAGACCCCCCAGGUGAGGUGGGCGAAAAAGCACCUGAUGGAGCCUCCCAGUCCUCUCAUGAGCCUAUGGAAGAUGCUGCUCCCCUUCUCUCCCCGUUAGCUUCCCCGGAUCCUCAAGCCAAGCAUCCUCAGGAUCUGGCCUCCACCCCAUCACCAGGCCCAAUGACCACCUCAGUCUCCUCCCUAAGUGCCUCCCAGCCACCAGAACCUUCCCUUCCCCUAGAACACCCCUCACCCGAGCCACCUGCACUUUUCCCUCACCCACCACACACCCCUGAUCCUCUGGCCUGCUCUCCGCCUCCUCCAAAUGGCUUCACUGCUCCUCCCCUGCAGGACUCCACACUGAUAACUCCAUCUC